rnacentral:rRNA from 1 species
UGGGGAAUAUUGCACAAUGGGCGCAAGCCUGAUGCAGCCAUGCCGCGUGUGUGAAGAAGGCCUUCGGGUUGUAAAGCACUUUCAGCGAGGAGGAAGGUGGGUGAACUUAAUACGUUCAUCAAUUGACGUUACUCGCAGAAGAAGCACCGGCUAACUCCGUGCCAGCAGCCGCGGUAAUACGGAGGGUGCAAGCGUUAAUCGGAAUUACUGGGCGUAAAGCGCACGCAGGCGGUUUGUUAAGUCAGAUGUGAAAUCCCCGGGCUCAACCUGGGAACUGCAUUUGAAACUGGCAAGCUAGAGUCUCGUAGAGGGGGGUAGAAUUCCAGGUGUAGCGGUGAAAUGCGUAGAGAUCUGGAGGAAUACCGGUGGCGAAGGCGGCCCCCUGGCACGAAGACUGACGCUCAGGUGCGAAAAGCGUGGGGAGCAAACAGGAUUAGNUACCCUGGUAGUCCACGCUGUAAAACGAUGUCGA